UACGGAGGGGGCAAGCGUUGUUCGGAUUUACUGGGCGUAAAGGGUGCGUAGGUGGCGAGGUAAGUUUGAUGUGAAAUCUCCGAGCUCAACUCGGAAACGGCAUUGAAUACUAUCCCGCUUGAGGGUCGGAGUGGAGACUGGAAUUCUCGGUGUAGCAGUGAAAUGCGUAGAUAUCGAGAGGAACACCAGUGGCGAAGGCGAGUCUCUGGACGACUCCUGACACUGAGGCACGAAAGCUGGGGGAGCAAACAGG
rnacentral:rRNA from 1 species